ACGCUGGCGGCAGGCUUAACACAUGCAAGUCGAACGGUAACAGGAAUUAGCUUGCUAAUUUGCUGACGAGUGGCGGACGGGUGAGUAAUGCUUGGGAAUCUGGCUUAUGGAGGGGGAUAACUACGGGAAACUGUAGCUAAUACUGCGUAAAAUCUUCGGAUUAAAGGGUGGGACUUUCGAGCCACCUGCCAUAAGAUGAGCCCAAGUGGGAUUAGGUAGUUGGUUAGGUAAAGGCUGACCAAGCCGACGAUCUCUAGCUGGUCUGAGAGGAUGACCAGCCACACUGGAACUGAGACACGGUCCAGACUCCUACGGGAGGCAGCAGUGGGGAAUAUUGCACAAUGGGGGGAACCCUGAUGCAGCCAUGCCGCGUGAAUGAAGAAGGCCUUCGGGUUGUAAAGUUCUUUCGGUGACGAGGAAGGUUGAUAGGUUAAUAGCCUAUCAAAUUGACGUUAAUCACAGAAGAAGCACCGGCUAACUCCGUGCCAGCAGCCGCGGUAAUACGGGGGGUGCGAGCGUUAAUCGGAAUAACUGGGCGUAAAGGGCACGCAGGCGGUGACUUAAGUGAGAUGUGAAAGCCCCGAGCUUAACUUGGGAAUUGCAUUUCAUACUGGGUCGCUAGAGUACUUUAGGGAGGGGUAGAAUUCCACGUGUAGCGGUGAAAUGCGUAGAGAUGUGGAGGAAUACCGAAGGCGAAGGCAGCCCCUUGGGAAUGUACUGACGCUCAUGUGCGAAAGCGUGGGGAGCAAACAGGAUUAGAUACCCUGGUAGUCCACGCUGUAAACGAUGUCGAUUUGGGGAUUGGGCUUUGAGCUUGGUGCCCGUAGCUAACGUGAUAAAUCGACCGCCUGGGGAGUACGGCCGCAAGGUUAAAACUCAAAUGAAUUGACGGGGGCCCGCACAAGCGGUGGAGCAUGU
rnacentral:rRNA from 1 species